UUUAGACGGAGAGUUUGAUCCUGGCUCAGGGUUAACGCUGGCGGUGCGCAUAACACAUGCAAGUCGAGCGAGGGCUCAUUUCCCGCAAGGGAGAUGGGUUCCUAGCGGCGAACGGGUGAGUAACACGUGGGCAACCUUUCCUAUCGCGGGGGAUAACAGC
rnacentral:rRNA from 1 species